rnacentral:tRNA from 1 species
CCCUGAGUAGUGCAAACGGUUAGUGAGCUUGGCUACUAACCAAAAAGUUGGUGGUUCGAAUCCACCCAGAGGCA